AAACACAAAAGAAACAAGAUGAAGAAGAAAACAAACACAAGAACAAGAAGAACAAGAAAACAAAUAAUCACAAACCCUAGAACUAAGAUAAAUAAGAAUUUACCUUAAUCUUUGGCUCUGAUACCAAACUGACGCGGAACCCAAUGGAAAUAAAUUCCAUGAACUCUAUGACAAGUUUUGGAAGAGAUCCAAGAUCAAACUAAACUCCCCC
rnacentral:lncRNA from 1 species